rnacentral:rRNA from 1 species
AUGGAACACGUUGAGAAUCCUGUUGAGGGUGACAAUGGAACUCCUAUGAGGAGUAAGAGACAGAGGACUGCAAAGUCUUUUGGUGAUGAUUUCAUUGUGUACCGUGUGGAUGACACACCCAGGACUAUUUCAGAAGCCUAUGCAUCUCCUGAUGCUGACUACUGGAAGGAAGCUGUUCGUAGCGAGAUGGAUUCCAUCUUAGCUAACGGUACCUGGGAGAUCACUGACCGUCCUUAUGGGUGCAAACCUGUAUGA